rnacentral:rRNA from 1 species
AUUGAACGCUGGCGGCAUGCCUUACACAUGCAAGUCGAACGGCAGCACGGGAGCAAUCCUGGUGGCGAGUGGCGAACGGGUGAGUAAUAUAUCGGAACGUGCCCAGUCGUGGGGGAUAACGUAGCGAAAGCUACGCUAAUACCGCAUACGAUCUAUGGAUGAAAGCGGGGGAUCGCAAGACCUCGCGCGAUUGGAGCUGCCGAUAUCAGAUUAGGUAGUUGGUGAGGUAAAGGCUCACCAAGCCGACGAGCUGUAGCUGGUCUGAGAGGACGACCAGCCACACUGGGACUGAGACACGGCCCAGACUCCUACGGGAGGCAGCAGUGGGGAAUUUUGGACAAUGGGCGCAAGCCUGAUCCAGCAAUGCCGCGUGCAGGAUGAAGGCCUUCGGGUUGUAAACUGCUUUUGUACGGAACGAAACGGUGAGCUCUAAUACAGUUUGCUAAUGACGGUACCGUAAGAAUAAGCACCGGCUAACUACGUGCCAGCAGCCGCCGUAA